UUUCAGUGCAGGGAUGAUCAAUCUGUACUUUGUGGGCGUUGUGGGGGAAGGAAGGGUAAAUAGGGGUCUCUAGCAUUAUUUAUAAGUCUAGCUGUGGAUGGAAAGAAGCUGUUUUUGUGUCUUGAGGUUUAGGUCCUGAUGGAUCUCAGCUAUCUGCCAGAGGGGAGGGUGACAAAAAGUUUGUGUCCUGGGUGAAAGGGAUCAGCCACUAUCUUCCUUGCUCGCCUCAGGGCCCUGGAGGUAUACAGGUCCUGUAGGGAUGGCAGAUUGCAGUUGAUCACCUUCUCUGCUGUCUGGAUGAUACGCUGCAAUCUGCUCCUCUCCUCUG